rnacentral:lncRNA from 10 species
AGUCACGAGCUUGUCUGACAGCCAGCGAUGCUGUUUAUCAUGAUAGAGAUUUGAGUGAGUGCUGGGAUUAUAGGCGUGAGCCACUGCGCCCAGCCGAUAACUAACCUUUUAUUUGACAUUAAUAUCUAAGAAACAGCUUGUGUCCUCUUUAACCUCACUCAUCCUCAUGUAUCUGCUGGGCAGUUGGGUGAUUUUAUUCUCUAAAAUAUGCACUCAGGACCAGGCGAGGUGGCUCACACCUGUAAUCCCAGCACUUUAGGGGGCCAAGGCGGGCAGAUUGCUUGAGGCCGGGAGUUCGAGACCAGCCUGG